AUUGAACGCUGGCGGCAGGCCUAACACAUGCAAGUCGAGCGAGCGGCGGACGGGUGAGUACUGUCUGGGGACUGCCCGAUAGAGGGGGAUAACUACUGGAAACGGUAGCUAAUACCGCAUACUAUCGGAUAACCCAUAUGGGAUUAGCUAGUAGGUGAGUUAAUGGCUCACCUAGGCGACGAUCCCUAGCUGGUCUGAGAGGAUGAUCAGCAACACUGGGACUGAGACACGGCCCAGACUCCUACGGAGGCAGAAGUGGGGAAUAUUGCACAAUGGGCGAAAGCCUGAUGCAGCCAUGCCGCGUGUAUGAAGAAGGCCCUAGGGUUGUAAAGUACUUUCAGUCGGGAGGCGUUACCGACAGAAGAAGCACCGGCUAACUCCGUGCCAGCAGCCGCGGUAAUAC
rnacentral:rRNA from 1 species